GACGACGAGGACAACGACGAGGACAACGACGACGACGACGAUGAUGAUGGAAGUAAUCUACUACAAUUAUAUAACUCGCGUUAGUAUCUCCUCUCUUUCAUCUUCUUUUUUCUUUCUUCUUCUAUUUCUCUCGUUUCAUUCCUACGAACGUUGGUUGCUGACUCCUCUCCCGUACCCCCAUGAAGAGGAUUCAACGCAAGAAUAUUAGCUAUACUUCUAUAAUGAUAAAUACAUACUUCAUAAACAAAACCAAAAUGCAAUAUCGUCAAACGUAUGAGACAUAUACGGACCACAUGGCCUGAAUGCAUCGGACAAUCUGUACAAUGUUGUUACAUUGACUGUAAUAUAUAUAAAUAUAAUAUUUGUGCACGCAUA